rnacentral:rRNA from 1 species
AAACUCUACAAUGCAGGCAACUGCGAUAGGGGAACAUCGAGUGGCGUCCAUAUUGGAUGUCUGUCCCCCAGCCUAAAAAGCUGGGGUUAGCAAGGGCCGGGCAAGACCGGUGCCAGCCGCCGCGGUAAUACCGGCGGCUCGAGUGGUGGCCGAUAUUAUUGAGUCUAAAGGGUCCGUAGCCGGCUUUGCAAGUCUCUCGGGAAAUCCAGCGGCUUAACCGUUGGUCGUCCGGGGGGUACUGCAUUGCUUGGGACUGGGAGAGGUAGGAGGUACUCAGGGGGUAGGAGUGAAAUCCUGUAAUCCUUUGGGGACCACCGGUGGCGAAGGCGUCCUACCAGAACAGGUCCGACGGUGAGGGACGAAAGCUAGGGGCACGAACCGG